UGCACAUACAGUUGAUAGUAGUAGAACAGGUAGCUGUUGUAGAUACAGAGACGAGGGGAUGACCAAAGGGAAUGGCGAUAGAUAGAAAAUGUUAGCAGACUCAUACAGUCAGCACACGUACAGGUUUAGAUCAUACACGUCUCACAUGCAUCUUAGUGUACGAGACUCUAGAUCCUGUCCAUCCUGUCCAGUCAUGGAGUGUUCAAAACUGACAUAAUCUAGCUCCCUACCCCAUCCACAGACCUCAUCCUGAUCAACAUGUCCAUCCUGUCCAGUCAUGGAGUGUACAACACUGACAUAAUCUCCCUACCCUAUCCACAGACCUCAUCCUGAUCAACAGACUAAUGAGAUCCUCAAUGAAACUUCAUCAUCGACUGCCGAUUCCUCUCCAACCUCCCAGAAAUACAUAUCGUGACAUACUACUGAGGAGGCUAUUACCAUGGACAGUUAAAAUGUCUGGCCUGUAUCACUAACCUCUCAAAGAAUCAUGUUCUCCUCUCAGAGAAUCACUCUGCCUGUCAUGACAUCCUGCUGCCUAGCGAUGACAAGAUCAUGUCACAAGAAACAAGGAACUGUGGACCAGGAAUCACUGAUAGUGAACAUCAGGAGUGGAUGUGGUCAGUAGGAUGGUCAGUAGGAUGGUCAGUAGGAUGCAUUUGGUCAGUAGUGAUGAUGUUAUUUAGUAGUGUGUGUAUCUUCUACAACUCUAACAGAUAAACCUUUGUUUGACAACUUUUUAUAUUUUGUUGGGAAAAUAGCAUUUCUCAGAAAUGAGAUUUUUAAAAUGAGUCAGAAACAACCAAAACAAAAUCUGUGUUUCAGGUAGGGCCUAUCAUGAUUCAGAGCAAAUGAGCCCUAAACUUUGAGACACACAUAGCACAAAACUUUUACACCAGUUUUAGACCAAAAGUACAUUUUAGAUGAUUUGAAAUGUUUAUUAAGGUGGUAAGAUCGUUUUCUCUAGAUGUUAUAAUGGCACUACAGAUUGAAUAUCCUCUACCUACCUGUCUGUUUUUACAUUGCAAGUCAUGAUGAUCAAGUCAAUUUAUGAAAAAAAAAAAAAAAAAUCUGAGAAAAAAAAGAGACAGGAAAUCUCCAGACAACAAUGAAAUCAUGAAAAUGAAAAAAGGCAACAACUUAAUCUGAAAUCAACAACUUAAUCUAAAA